CGUAUUGGGCAGAAAGAGAGAGACAAAAAAAAUCACUCUCCACCUCUCGCAGUCUCCCCCACGCACGCGAUCUCCUCUCGUUCCCCACACCAACGCAGCCGCCGCCGCCUCCUCUGCUCGUUUCUCAGCCUCACCGGAUUUGGGGAGCCACCGACGCGCAGGACGCGCCCCGCCGCGCCUCCCUUCCCACCCACGCAGCUGCGGGCGAGGGGUCCUCCAGAUCCCCAGCUGCCGAGGACCCUGUCCUCCUCGGCGUCAGCGACGGCUACAUGUCCCUCAAGGGCGUCAUCCAGGUCGAGAGGGCCGGCCAUACCGACGCCCAGUCCAAGCUCGUCUUCUACGUUAAUCCUCUCACCCCCACAGGAGAGAGAGAAGGAGGGAGGGAGGCCAGCGAGCAAGGAGAGGGAGAGAGCAGAGUUGUCUGCUUUGCUUCGUGCACCCAAUCUCCCUCUCCCCGGAGAUUCUUCUCUCUCUCAAGUCUCAACCGAUGGACCAGCUGGUGAAUUUCAUCAUCCGCCCGCCCAGAGCUGACUACAGGCCAAACGAUGAUCUACGGGAGCAGGAGUUUAUGCUCAAGGGAAGAUGGUUUCAGAGGAAGGACCUGGAGGUUAUAUAUGUUUUAUACUUCCGCAUUACGGUGAUAACAGAUUGACAGCAACAUCAGAAACCUAUUUCCUUUGUCCUAUUAUAUUACUUUUGUAUGCAUGAUACACAUUAGAAAAGAAAAGCCACCACCUUCGUUGCCAGAAAAACUCAAUAUCAAUCUUUUGGCCUCGUUGUCUGCUAAAAAAUCAUGAAUGGAAAUCUGGAUUCUAUUCUCAAUGGCAUUAAAGCUAUAAAUAGCAUGGUCGUUCUUUAAGAUAGUGUUUAAUUUGAAAUCAUUUAACAAGUGAGGCAGGUUCAAUUUUAAACAAUGCAAGUAGGAUGCAAGGGAUAAACAGGAAUUGUGCUAGGCUGAUGCGCCGGAGAGACAGAACAGGAGGCCGACCAGUCCGUGGUGUCGCCGUUGUCGUCCUUGUCCCUCAUGCGCGGCAAUGGAGAGAGACGAUCCGUCUGGAGAUCGAGUAUAGGAGCCGUCUACCUCUGUUACUGAUAAAAACUGGCCAGAGGGGAUCUGCUUUACCCCCUGAUCCUCUCCGCGAUUGGGAGGUUGAGCCAUGGCCUACCCGUGCUUGAUACCGAGAUGUUCAAGAUGGCCGACCCGUUCAUUGCUGGUUGGUUUCUUAGUGCCUACCUCCUUGCGGGAUUUGGCGAUGAUGCCAAAGGAAGCAAUGGGCUGUUGGGAUACCGGCUGGGGGAUUAUUCAGUGUAUGUGGGCCUUGGCAGAGCACAGUCACUUAACCCUGUGAGUGUUAUAUGCUGUACUUCACAUACCUUUAUCCAGCCUGAAUAUAUCAACCUGGAAGAAUUCUUGUCCAUGAGAUGGAGAGCCUGUAUGCGUCCAUUCCCAUAUCCUUCAUGAGACGCUCAUCUUCCUGCGUUUUUUGGCAAUUAAGGAUCAGUACUACUUAGUUUCAAUUCAUUGCAUUGGAACUUAAAUUCAAAGAUGUUCUCAUAGUAAUGCUCUUAGUUAACAACUUUAGGCAUAUAAUUUAUGAAAAAAUAAGGAUAUAAUUAAAAAGCACGACUGUAUUGGUUUAUUGGAAUUCAGGAGCGAAUUUCAAUGUCCUUUUUGCUGUAUGUGCUAGAUUCGCAGUUGUUGUGCAUAUGAUUAGUUGCUAUGUUUGGCAUAGAGUUGGAUUUUGCUGACAAAUUGCUUGCAAGGCUGAUAGGUUUGUUGAUAUGCCUCAUAUGCAGGCUCCUAUCCCACUGUAGAAGUUGUCUGUUGUGGAGAUGACUGGGUUCCAUGGCUAACAUAACACAUUUUACCUGUUAGGUACUCCAUCUGGUUGGAUAGCAAAUUGCGUUUUAAUGUUGAUUCAAUGCUUAUCAUUAAGUAUUUCUUAUGGAGAAAGAAAGCAGAGUAUGCCAUUUCAGCGCACUACGAUUGCACAUGUGUCUGGGAGGAAGUUCUUCAGAACAAGCGCUUAAACAAGUACAAUCACACUGCUAUCGACGAGAAUUUUACUUUUAUCAGUCUAAGGGCUUGUGAAGUUUAAUGCCUCUGGCCAAGAUCCUGUUCUACCGAGUUUUAAGUAGCAUUUACUUAUGUUUGAUAAAUUCUAGCUUGGUAUUUUUGAAGUAUUCUAAGAAUACUGCAGUUUUUUGGAUUACCAUGGUUUUAAUUACAACGAGGUGUUUGGCUGCCAUUAACAACAAUGGUUUUAAAACUGCAGUAUUGGAUAAACUGUGGUUUUUUCUCUGUAUAAAAAAAAGAACUCCAAACCUCUUUUUAAAAAGCAGAGCAGCUGAAAAGAAGGUACUAUCGUCAUUAUCUUCUUCCCUGAUGUGCUAAUAAAUCGCUCCAUCUAGCCGCUGGUACCUGCGGAUGGUGCCGCGACCCAUCCUCAUAUGCGACCGGAGGGGAGCACCGCGUCGCUGCUACCUGUGCACCACGGAGGUCACCCUCAUAUGGGACCGGAGGGGACCACUGCGCCGCUGCUACCUGUUUGCUUCAGUUCAUAUGCAUGGACGCGAAUGGCAAGGGCUAGCCAACCUACCGAGCUAGAUUAACGCAACGGGAACAGUUGACAACCGGCCAGCUGCAUGUCUUUGCAUUGCUACCACAACAAGCUAGAUGCUUCUGCCUAAUGGCUAGGCAACAAAUUUUACAACUUUAUGUGUUGUAGCCAAACACGUGCUUUGUAUUCUUAAUACUCCAAAAAACUCUGCUAACUUAAAACCAUGGUAUUGUGUACCUACUGACUGAAUUACUGCAGUUUUUGAUACUUUAGUUUUUCUGAUACUUUGCUAUCAAACACAGCCUAAAUGAAUUGAUCAAGUGUAUAACAAUUGUGCAGAUGUGCCCGAUGGUUCUUUCAUCGUGUGUGCCCUUACACCAAUGUCUAAUUUAUUUUCAUGCCUUUGGUUCAAUGAGGUCAACUGUUUCACCUCCCGUGAUCAAUUGAGUUUUACAUACACUUGCUUGAAGCUCACGAGAAUGAACGCUUGAAGAUAUUUCACCUAAAUAUGUUUAAGAUCCACCCCCGACAAACCUUCGUACGGAUAAAAAAUCGUUCAUUGAUGCCAAUCUUAGACUGCCAUUGAGGAAUUGAGGGCGGGAUACUAUUCAUUUUGAUGCAUGUAUCAUGCAUUCAGUCUGGUGGGGGUGGAGCAGUGAGGCUGGAGACCCAGGCAGGGGACGCCUCAGGGCUUGGAGGAGAGGUCGACGAUACGGACAAGGAGCAGUAGCCUCAUGGAUCUGCAGUGAAGCGUCAUCGAGGGAUGGCUGAUGUCAAGGCACACAUAGCUCCGGCUGCCGCGGAUAGGAAGUACUCGACGCAUGAUAUCCUCCUGACUCUGACUGAACCCUGUUUCGUGCAAACAUGCUCUGUAUUUUUUUGGUAGGAACAUUUAACUCUAAAGACAUAACUAUUCAGACUGCAAGAUUUUUGCUUUGGGUUUCAGAAGAACUGUAUAGACAUGCUUGUUGUAGUAUCUGUGUUAUGUACUCAGUGUCAAAUACAAAGUUCAAAUAUCAUUUGAUACAAGGAACAGGCAUCUGAACUUUAUAAAAGUAGAUAUAGCAAACAUUAGGCUUGAUUGCAUUAAUAAUUUAUAUAGUUGCAGAUGUACUUACUUCUGGUACUAAUCAUUUGAUGCUUUUCUUUUUAUUUCCACCAUUACAAGAUUAAGCUUGACAGUGAAAUCUUGGAUAGUAUGUAACACCUUUUCUGCAUAUUUAGAAUAUGUAUGCAAACUCACACUGGUUUAAUUUUGCUUUGGUUUUACUAACCAAAUUAGUUUCAAUAAUCCAGUUCCAUUUUUGUCUUCCCUGCUAAUUUGCGGCUUUCUGUGCCAGAUACAUCAUAGUUAAUAAAAAAACUUCUGCUGUAAUGGAGGUACUCAUCUUUAGUAGUGUGCUUAAUUUGAUUCAUCACCUCAAGUGUUUUACACAAAAUUUGAACUAUGUGUAUCUACUGGUGAGUCCUUGGGCCUCGCUCUAUUUCAGUUUUCAAGAUGGAAGAAUGUCUUAAAGUUUCAACUACUAUUUACUAAUUGUAGGCUCCUUAGAAGAUUCCACCUAAUCUUUAGAAACAGAAAAUUAUAAGUAUAUUGUCCGCUAGAUGCAAGCAUGAGUAGCUCAAAACUGAAACGCUGCCAUCUCGGACCUCCUCCAUGGUUUGCCAGGCUACCAAGAUCAAUAAUGUAGCGACAUGAGGAGGGAAUUUGAUCAAGACAUAAGUAGGUAAAUACCCCUAGCUAUUUUCUUUAUAUAUUUUGCCCUUCUCUCACUGUAUUCUAUUUUGCCUUUUAGUGAUUGUAAAAUUAAAGUCUUCAAUAAACAUACAUUUACUUAUGCUUCAGAGGAUAAGCCUUCUGUAAAUACACCCACCCACGCCUAAGAUUUUAGCAAAUAAAUCUUGGCUCAAUAACUUUUGUUUUUAAUGGAAGGAACAAUUUCUUCAGUGACUAACUACAUCUUUUUCUUUGCUAGGCUGUAGACAAGAUAGGUGAUAUUAAAUGUUUCCUCACAAAUAACCUCUCUAAUUGACGAGAAUAACUGGGUAUGUAACAAUGUUAACAUUGGUAGUUUAUCGGCACAGUACUAAUGUUGCCUUAAUGCACAAUAAACUCAAAUAUCGUCCUCUCAGUAUAUGCCUCUACAAAAGGGUGCUUAAUGAAUUCAAUGGUUUGCCUCAUUUGUACAGAAAUUUGGACCAUUCUAGCUCAUUGAGAUAGUUUCUAAUUUAGUUUGUUGAUUAUAUUUUAUUACUACAGUUUUACUGGGCUGUGUCCUCAUGGAUUUCAAGUUUCGCUGGAGAUAUGUCAUCUGCCAAUGUUAGAAGAAUAGGUGCUUCCAUAGAAAAAGGUCUUUGUCUCGAUUCCUUCCCUUUGAAGGAAACUCCAAAUCGAGUCGUCGCGCCAUGCCUAGGCUUGCUAAAAGCUAACUCAUGUCUUAGAGAUUUUUAGUAGCGAAUUUAAGUGCAUGGUUACUGAUGUGGCUAUGGAAUGCACGGGUUGUACAGCAACUAAGUUUGUAGAGUGAAUUCACGUGCUCAUAAAGGAAGUGGUGAAACCCAAUAAACAAUAUCAUAUGGAUGCAUCUUAAGAGGUGCACAAUUGGCAUAUAUUUCGAUUGUGCUCCUUCAGGCCAUCUUUGAUGCUCAGAUUGUGCUUUCAUUGACAUUCACAUAUUCUUGUUGUUAUUGUGUAUGUGCAGCUACUGAUAUAGGUCUCUUAUAUGAAUGUUAGAUGUCAUUUCUAAAUUCAUGUUGUAACUAUUUCUGCCUUGCUAAGCUGAGAUCAGGGACUGCUGGUCAUUUCUGAAGAUCAGGACACAACCAGCCUCAUUUCUAAAGAUCAGGACCCAACCAGCCAUCCUAAUCUGAGUGUCGGAUAUUUGGAAGUUUGAAGAAGCCUAACAUGCAUAACAUUAGGAGCCCCCCUCUCCCAGUCGAGAUCAGGCAAGGCAGAUGGGAAGCAGCGGCGCCCCCUCUCCCUCGAGCUCUAGAUCCAUGGCACCAGCAUCGAGGUCAUAUCUCAGAAUACAUCAUGUCAAGAACUGGUAGCCAAAGAUCUCCAUGGAACUGAGUGACAUUUCUUGGUGACUUUACAAUAUUCAGCUUGAAGCCCUUAAAUUUCCAGUAGUUGUGUCCUUAUUGUUUUGGUGUAGCACUUCAUGUAACAAUUGAAUGCUGAAUUCAUUACUUCAUGAGUAUGUGUGGCCUCUCUCCCUCUGUCUGAUUCUAUAUCAUGCCUUUCAGUGUUUUGUGUUUUAGAUUCCAUAAUCUCCUUGUAUUUGAGUGUCAUUUAUUUGGCUCCUUCAA